CCCCCUCCGCAGGCUGCGGCCCCAGGCUGGGCUGGGCGAGCAUCUCUCCAAAGGCUCACCCUCCAGCACGGCCAGGAGC
rnacentral:pre_miRNA from 1 species